AGGAGGAGAGAGGAAGGACCCGGGGAGUGUGGGGACGCUAGGCCGCUUCUGGGAUUAGCGCUGGGAAGAGAAAGCAGUGAACAGGGAACCAAAGGAGGCUCCUGACACCAGCCGCAGUGACAGCGACCGUGAACAAGCCGCCAGCGCCGGAAGCAAGUGGGAAGUGACUCCAUCAGCUGGCAGGAGCGGCAAAGGCAGAGGAAACAACAGAGGAUAUGGAGGAAUCACCACCACUGCAGAACCACGACCAAAAGUCCAAGGGCAGGACAUUGCCUGCCAGACCUGAUGCCCAGGAUAUGCAGCAUCCCAGGUGAUAUUUAGAAAACUUUUGCGGGCAGAACUUGCUGGGGGUGGCAACCAGCCCACAGGCCAGUAAUGAAUGAAGAUAGUGAACAGGAAAGUAGAGUGAAAUAUCUUCAGAUUUUAAAAAUAUUUUUACAUUUUGCAUAUAUAUUAUAUUGUUAAGUUGUAUAUAGUUAUUGUUAAAGCUGCAGGGUUUUCAGUAAAGUUUUAUUUACUCUA